GACGAACCGAGCGAACGUUGUUCGGAAUCACUGGGCUUAAAGGGCGCGUAGGCGGAUUUGCAAGUCCGGGGUGAAAUCCCACAGCUCAACUGUGGAACUGCCUCGGAUACUGUGAGUCUCGAGGGUGGCAGGGGUAUGCGGAACUAUCGGUGGAGCGGUGAAAUGCGUUGAUAUCGAUAGGAACUCCGGUGGCGAAGGCGGCAUACUGGUCCACUUCUGACGCUGAGGCGCGAAAGCCAGGGGAGCAAACGGG
rnacentral:rRNA from 1 species